UUCCGGUUGAUCCCGCCGGAGGCCAUUGCUAUCGGGGUCCGAUUUAGCCAUGCUAGUUGUACGAGUUUACACUCGUAGCAAAUAGCUCCGUAACACGUGGCCAAACCACCCUACAGAGAACAAUAACCUCGGGAAACUGAGGCUAAUAGUUCAUACCCGUCUCACGCUGGAAUGCCGAGACGCGCAAACGUUCCGACGCUGUAGGACGUGGCUGCGGCCGAUUAGGUUGACGGUGGGGUAACGGCCCACCGUGCCGAUAAUCGGUACGGGUUGUGAGAGCAAGAACCCGGAGACGGAAUCUGAGACAAGAUUCCGGGCCCUACGGGGCGCAGCAGGCGCGAAACCUUUACACUGCACGCAAGUGCGAUAGGGGGACCCCGAGUGCGAGGGCAUACAGUCCUCGCUUUUCAGUACCGUAGGGAGGUACUGGAAUAAGAGCUGGGCAAGACCGGUGCCAGCCGCCGCGGUAAUACCGGCAGCUCGAGUGAUGGCCGAUCUUAUUGGGCCUAAAGCGUUCGUAGCCGGCCACGCAAGUUCAUCGGGAAAUCCGCCAGCCUAACUGGCGGGCGUCCGGUGAAAACUGCGUGGCUUGGGACCGGAAGACCCGAAGGGUACGUCUUGGGUAGGAGUGAAAUCCCGUAAUCCUGGACGGACCGCCGAUGGCGAAAGCACUUCGGGAAGACGGAUCCGACGGUGAGGAACGAAAGCCAGGGUCUCGAACCGGAUUAGAUACCCGGGUAGUCCUGGCCGUAAACGAUGUCUGCUAGGUGCGACCCCCACUACGAGUGGGUGUUGUGCCGUAGGGAAGCCGCUAAGCAGACCGCCUGGGAAGUACGUCCGCAAGGAUGAAACUUAAAGGAAUUGGCGGGGGAGCACUACAACCGGAGGAGCCUGCGGUUU
rnacentral:rRNA from 1 species